GGUUUAGUGGUGUAGCGGCUAUCACGUUUCGUUUACAAAUUGGUUACAAUUGUAAGCUCCGAAAAGGUCCCGAGUUCGAUCCUCGGCUAGAUCA
rnacentral:tRNA from 1 species